rnacentral:rRNA from 1 species
AGUCGAACGGGUGUAGCAAUACAUCAGUGGCAGACGGGUGAGUAACACGUGGGAACCUUCCUCGUUGUACGGGACAACUCAGGGAAACUUGAGCUAAUACCGUAUACGUCCGAGAGGAGAAAGAUUUAUCGCAAUGAGACGGGCCCGCGUCGGAUUAGCUAGUUGGUGGGGUAACGGCCUACCAAGGCGACGAUCCGUAGCUGAUCUGAGAGGAUGAUCAGCCACACUGGGACUGAGACACGGCCCAGACUCCUACGGGAGGCAGCAGUGGGGAAUCUUGGACAAUGGGCGCAAGCCUGAUCCAGCCAUGCCGCGUGAGUGAAGAAGGCCUUAGGGUUGUAAAGCUCUUUUGCCAGGGACGAUAAUGACGGUACCUGGAGAAUAAGCC